ensembl:lncRNA
UCCAGCAGGGCCACGCCAUCCCCUUAGCAACAGCAACAUUGAUCUCAUGCUCUCUGUGUUGCACACGGAAAACAAACACACACACACACACACACACAUAUAGACAUAUACUCUCUCUCACACACACACACACACACACACACACACACACAUAGACACAUACUCUCUCUCUCUCUCUCACUCACACACACACACGCGCACACACGCACACUAAUAUAUAAAAUAUCCAAAAAGGACACUUUUAGGCACAAAACACAUAUACAAAACACAUAUAACAUACACACACCACUCAGGAAGACAUAAACAGCCAGCACACACAAAAAGGCAGCCAAAUAUCCCCCUCCACCUUGAAGGCCAAACUCUUCCAUGAAACCUCUUUAAUGUUUUUCACUUCAGUAAGAUGAAUACAGACAGAAACAUAUCAGCGAGAGUAUAUAUAUACUGUACAUAUAUAUGUUUAUGUAUAUAUGCGUAUAUAAAAACACGGGGCUACAAAAAUCAAGUUUAGCCUUUCUGCUAGGUGAGUGAGUGACCUCGCCCUUCACAACACAGGAAGUUAAUACAAAAGGUUACAUGUUAGUUACAGAUGACCACUCAGUAGCGAUGCAUCCAACUCCUUUCAAAAAACACUCUUGGCUCUUAUUCAGAUUAAAUACAUCACAGUACAUCGACAUCACAUGACCUACAGGGCACAAACAAUCAAUAGCAGUGCACACACACGCACGCCCACACACACACACAAACAUGCUGAAGGUGACUUGCUUAUUCUCACCUGUAUUUCUCGGAUGUUGCCAUAGCAACUGCUCUGGGUAUGACCCCCCACAACAUGUCUGUCUGUCACCUAAGCAACCUCCUUGCUCCUGAAGGACAAGAGUUCACCAGAACCACCCAGCUAAUCAGUCUGAGCCCACAGCCCAAUACACACAGGCCUGCUCACAUCCCAGCUAACGGUCUGAACCCACAGCCCAAUACACACAGGCCUGCUCACAUCCCAGCUACAGCUACAAUCUACAAUCUACACACAUAAACACUGACUCACAAUGAGACUCACCUCUAACCUCUAACCUCUAACCCACACCCCCCCUCUGUACAUAGCAUACAAACAAACAUGUCUGUGCAGUGUAAAAAAGGCUAUAUAGAGAAUAUAUAUAUUUAUAGUAUAUAUAUAUGCAGAAAUAGUAGUAGUAAUAUAUAAUAUAGAGAGAGAGAGAGAGUUGAGUAAUUGAAAGCAUGUCUAUAAAACAACGUUGACGUGGCUAAACAGGAUUUCCUCUCAGUGCCUUCUCUUACGAGACACGCUUGGCUCACCUCACUAGCAGCUGACUACACAACUGGGCCAGAUGUGGGCCGGGUCUAGACCAGACGUGUGUGUGUGUGUGUGUGUGUGUGUGUGUGGGCCAGACCCCAGUGUGUGCGGUGAGCUGCUGCGAGGAGAAUCAGAGCAACACAGGAGAGAUUUGGUCUCUAUGUGGGCGAAGGGGACAGGGAUCAAUCUGCUCAGUCAAUCUGUCACAGGUUCACUUUGCAGUGGGAUUGUCUCACACACUCACAGCUCUCUUCUGUCUGUCACUCAUUAGCUCACUCGUUCUUUCUUUCUCAAAGAGUUCACGCUCUCUUCUAUCUCUCUCAUUCACUCUCUCUCUCAAAAAGAGUUUACACUCUCUAUCUCUCACUCAUUCUCUUUCUCAAAAAGAGUUUACGGUCUCUCCAUCUCUUGGUCAUUCUCUCCCUCUCUCAUUCUCUUGCUCUCUCAUUUUCUCACUCUCGCUCUCUAAUUCUCUAACUCUGUCAUUCUCUCACUCUCUCAUUCUCUUAUUCUCUUAUUCUCUCCCUCUCUCUUUUCUUUACUAAUCCCUCAUUUUAAUACUUGGUCAUUUCUCUUCCUCCAUGUGUCUGAGCAUCUUAGCACGUAAUCUGUGCGAACCCUAACCUUAACCCUAACCCAGUGUGUGUGUGUGUGUGUGUGUGUGUGUGUGUUUAAUCUGUUGUAACCCUAACCCAGCCCAGAAAAUGCUCACGGCAGCACAGUCCCCAUCUGAGAUUGCCUUUAAGCCAUCUCCACCAAACAUCAGUGUGUGUGUGGUGUGGUGUGUGUGUGUGUGUGUAUGUGUGUGUGUGUGUGUGUGCCACUCCCAAUUCACAAACCAUCAGUGUGAGUGUGAAAGACACAGAGGAGGAGAGAGGGAAAGGGCUGUAUAAGUCUCUGUCCCUUUCAAAUGUGUGUGUGUGUGUGUGUGUGUGUGUGUCUGAGCAUGUGUGUGUGCGUGUCUGAGCAUGUGUGUGUGUGUGUGUGUGUGUGUGUGUGUGUGAGCAUGUGUGUGUGUGUGUGUGGGGGGUCCUCCGAUACAAGGCUCCGUCUGGUUCUAGCCGGUUCUGUCUGAUUUACCAGCUGUGUUUGGUUGCGGCACGUCCCGCCCAAGUGCUCUGGAUCUGUCCACUGUGGUACCGCUCCGAGAACGUGACGAGAGCUGGCAGGGGUCGUUUGACGUAAAGCAGUACCCCAAAGAACACACACACACACACACACUCUGACACACACACACACACACACAUACACAUAGCCCCGUCCCCAGCCCUCAGCACUCAAGACGGAAAUGUCCCCUCAGGUUUGUGCGGCAUGUCUGUUCAGAUCCUGUGGUGUGUCACCGUGACAACGGAGGGGCUGGGUCAUCUCUGAGGCUCAGCUGAAAGUGGGCUGCGCCAAAUGGAAUAAAGGGGGGGGGGGGGGGGGGGGUUCAUAGCGGUCACAUUGAACCCUUCCUUCCUUCAGCCUCAGUGGUUGUAAGCACACCUAACAGGACAUGAUGUCCCCUAAUCAGCCUUUUCCAACAGUACUCCAUUUCAAAGGAAGAGACCAUCAGCUCAGCAGGGGCACGGCUGAUCCAGAGACUGGGUCCGCCUUGAGUCGCUCGAGGUCUGAGAGUGAGAGGUUUUGGGGGACGAGGGUGACAGUCACUGGGGUGUUGGUGCGGUUGGAUCAGUUCCGAUUCAGACUCGUAUCGGGUCAGUUCCACUCAGUGAGCCUCUUAUCACUCCAUCAUCUGUGAUCCUAGGAUACCGUAACCCUGGGUAACAGCAUCCUGCAGGGCUGCUUGGUGACGUCCGUGAGCUGAAGGGGUGCUGAGAUGAGAUAUCUAGCGACAAGGGCACUGGGGGGUCGUCAUGGAGAUGAUGCGAUCAAGAGGGCAACGGAUACGCCACGUGGUCCUUAGGGAUCAAAGGUCACAGUCUCAGGGCAGGAAAGCGCUUCCCCUCCUCUCAGGCCUUCACAUUUACUGCAAAAACAGGAAGUAGACCAAAUGAAACAGGAAGUACAGAAAAGGACUCAUAAC